rnacentral:tRNA from 2 species
CGCGGGGUAGAGCAGAUGGCCAGCUCGUGAGGUUCAUUCCCUCAAGGUCGCGGGUUCGAGUCCCGCCCCCGCUACAA